AGGCUUUCCCGUUUUGUUGAACUAAUAGCAAAUUUAAGUUCAAUAUACAGGAUAGCCCCG
rnacentral:pre_miRNA from 1 species